AAUGUUGCCAAGACAGUUAUUCUGAUCAAGGCUCAAAUUUUAUUGUUGCGACACUAGUUAUGAAGGAAGGGGGAGGGGACCCGAUUCCCGCCGAAUAAUCUCUGGUCCAGUAGAAAGGUGCAUGUGUGUGGCUCCGCAGGUUCUAGCAGUGGGCGUGGCAGAACGAAUGAGCAGGAAGCUCCACCCCUGAGCAAGCAGGUUUCAGGCUGGGGGAGGGGAGACUACAUCCCCAACCACCCACUCCCCCUUUUUGGCCCUGGCGUUCCCCUGUACUGGGGCAUAUAAAGUUUGCGUGUCCAAUGGGCCUCUCUUUCCAGUGAUGGCCGACUAGGCCAUCUUUUGAUACAUAUGCAGCUAGAGAUACGAGCUCUGGGGGGUACUGGUUAGUUCAUAUUGUUGUUCCUCCUAUGGGGCUGCAAAACCCUUCAGCUCCUUGGGUAAUUUCUCUAGCUCCUCCUUGGGGGCCCUGUAUUCCAUCCUAUGCAUGACUGUGAGCAUCCACUUCUGUAUUUGCCAGGCACUGACUCACAGGAGACAGCUAUAUCAGGUUCCUUUCAGCAAAACCUUGCUGGCAUAUGCAAUAGUGUCUGGGUUUGGUGGCUGAUUGUGGGACGGAUCCCCAGGUGGGGUCAUUUCUGGAUGGUCCAUCCUUUCGUCUUUGCUCCAAACCUUGUCUCUGUAACUCCUUCCAUGGGUAUUUUGUUCCCUAUUCUAAGGAGGAAUGAAGUAUCCACUCUUUGGUCAUCCUUCUUUUUGAUUUUCUUGUGUUUUGCAAAUUGUAUCUUGGGUCUUCUAUGUUUCGGGAUUUUCAAUUCUAUCAGAUACAUCUAUCUAUUCUUUUACAUAGCAAGAAUCUCAGAGUGCAUAGUACAUAGUAUUUUUGUAAAUAAACACACACACACACACACACACACACACACACACACACACACACACACACAUACACCUUUAUAUGCUCCUUGCAAAUUUCAUGCAAUUUUGAAGCUCCCCCUUCCACAUGAAUCGGCCCUUACCUACUCAACAUUUUAGCCUCUUUUUGUUUUCUUUCUUAAUCUCAUCUGAUUUAGUUUGCAUUUUCAAUCUGGAGCAUGGUUAUCCUAAUGACAACUUCAUCCUUAAAAAAAAUGGAUUCUCUUUCUCAGCAGCUACCAAUUGCCAAUAGCUUCUCUAAUAGGUAUGGGACUUUAUGUUCACCUUCCCUCUCCAUAUUGGGAUUUGGGAAAGCUUGAGUGUGUACUUGUGCAACCUGUAACAGCUGCUAUGAGUCCAUGAGUGCCGCUGACCUGCUUUGUCUGACUAGAAGACAUUCUUUCUUCAUAGUCUGUUACUGAUGUUCGUGGUUACACUUUUUUAAUUCCUCUUCUGCAAUGAUCCCUCAGCUUUGAUAGAAGGGGAUGUGAUAAAGAGAGAGAGAGAGAGAGAGAGAGACAUUAAACAUGCCUCAAUAUAUUAUUUUCUACACUUUGAAUAAGUUCAGGUGUGUCUUUGUGAGUCUCUGCAAGUAAAAUAUCAUUUGAUAGAGGUUGAUAGAUGUAUUAAUUAAUGGGUAUAAGGAUAAAUCCUUAGAAAUCAAAUUAAUACUAUAUCCAUUUAGGAGAUUGUAAGUAGUAGGUUGUCCCUAGCUGAUGGUCUGCUUUGCCACAGGUAAUGGCCCCCUGUGACAGUGGACAGAUAUGGGUUUCAUUGUCUGGAGAAGAGAUUAAGUCCAAUCAGAAAGCUACUGGUUGCUCCCAUUAAAUUUGUGCCAGUAAUACACUGAUGGGACUGUGUGGCAGGGCAGCUAUUAUUGUACCUCACGGGGUUCACAACCGGGUAAAAUAGACCUUUACUUUUAUCCUUAGUAUCGGGCAUAGUAUUUCCAGCACUACAAAAGUUAAUCAACAGGAAAGAAGAUCCUAAGUGAGUACCAGGUGUCUCAAGUAUGAGGUAUCUUCAGCAAUAAGGUAGGGGAUUAGAUGUUAGGGCAGAGGAAGAUAUAUGAGGAGAAAUAAAUAAUGCUAAAUAUCUUUCAAAAUGUCAUAUGAAAACAUCCUACUGUAGAACACACACACACAAACACACACACAGACACACACACACAGACACACACACACACACACACACACACACACAGGCACACACAGAGACAUUUGAAGAGAAAAAUUUGAAGAGCAAAAGGAUACCAGGAAGUGAAAUGGAUCUAAGUCCUAUGUUCAAGGAGAUAAACCAAUUAAAGAGAAUCCUGCCAUUAAAUCAAAUAAAGGAAGUGUGACAAAAUUCUACACAGCUAUGAUUCCAACCUGUGAAAAGUAAUUAAGAAUAGUUUAAAUACAGGUGCAAUGAAACACACAUUUAAGCCCACAGCACCCAAGAUAGGAAAGCAGAUCUCUGAAUUUUUGGACAGUCUGUCUGGUCUACAGAUCCAGUUCCAGGAUAGCUAAGUUUAGGCAGUGAAGGAAACUCUUGGGAACAGAAAGCUGGUAACAAUUCAAUUGGACAAGGGGGCCAGAUUUUAGCCCAAACUUGACAGAUUUGUCCACAGGAUUCUAGUUUUAGAAUCAAGGUUAAAAGGGAGGGAAUAUAGAAUCUUCCUCUUCUGCUGAGGAAAGUCACUGUGGCCAGGCAGAUUGCCAUGUCCCAGGAUAUUACAGAUGUCAGGGCUAGGAUAACUUUCAAGGAAAGCUGCUAACAGGGAGUGCAGACAUCCCAAAAGAAAGGGGUGAAGUGCAGUUAACAAAGAUGAAAGGAGCAGCAGAUCUGAAGAACAUUUUGGCAUCAUAAAUGGAGCUGUAGAGUUUGGUGUUUGCCCGGCUAGAUUUGGUCUUACUUUGGUCCAGUAUUUCAUCACUAUGCUCCCUUCUGGAACUGAAAUUUAUUUCUCUUGCUAUCAUAUGUUGGAAAUAUGUGAUCUGCAUUUUGAUUUCGAUUUUACAAGGGAUUACAGUUAAGCGAUUACAAGAAUCUAAGAGGACACUUUGAAGUUUGGAUUUUUAAAUGGGUUUGAGACUAUUAUAGUCUAUGGGGAGUUCUGAAGUGGGACUAAAUGCAUUUCACAUUAUGAUUCAGCCUUAAGGAGGGCCAGAGAAUGGAAUGUCGUAGUUUGAAUUAAAAAAAAAAAUUAAAAAAAAAAAGUCCCAUAAGCUCACUGGCACUAUUAGGAAAUAUGAGCUUGUUGGCCUAGGUGUGGUUAGAGGAAAUCUGUCACUGGAGGCAGUUUUUGAGGUCUCAACUUCCCAAGCCAGGAGUGUCCCAUGGCAUCUUCCUGGUUCUUGCAGAUAAAGAUAUUG
rnacentral:lncRNA from 1 species